rnacentral:rRNA from 1 species
AGAGUUUGAUCCUGGCUCAGGAUGAACGCUGGCGGCGUGCCUAACACAUGCAAGUCGAGCGAAGCAAUUAAGAGGAAGUUUUCGGAUGGAAUGUUAAUUGACUGAGCGGCGGACGGGUGAGUAACGCGUGGGUAACCUGCCUCAUACAGGGGGAUAACAGUUAGAAAUGACUGCUAAUACCGCAUAAGCACACAGAACCGCAUGGUUCGGGGUGAAAAGCCGAGACGGUAUGAGAUGGACCCGCGUCUGAUUAGCUAGUUGGAGGGGUAACGGCCCACCAAGGCAACGAUCAGUAGCCGACCUGAGAGGGUGACCGGCCACAUUGGGACUGAGACACGGCCCAAACUCCUACGGGAGGCAGCAGUGGGGGAUAUUGCACAAUGGGGGAAACCCUGAUGCAGCGACGCCGCGUGAGUGAAGAAGUAUUUCGGUAUGUAAAGCUCUAUCAGCAGGGAAGGAAAAAGACGGUACCUGACUAAGAAGCCCCGGCUAACUACGUGCCAGCAGCCGCGGUAAUACGUAGGGGGCAAGCGUUAUCCGGAUUUACUGGGUGUAAAGGGAGCGUAGACGCCAAUACAAGUCGGAAGUGAAAUACCCGGGCUCACCUUGGGAACUCCUUUGGAAACUGUAUGGCUGGAGUGCUGGAGAGGUAAGCGGAAUUCCUAGUGUAGCGGUGAAAUGCGUAGAUAUUAGGAGGAACACCAGUGGCGAAGGCGGCUUACUGGACAGUAACUGACGUUGAGGCUCGAAAGCGUGGGGAGCAAACAGGAUUAGAUACCCUGGUAGUCCACCCUGUAAACGAU